rnacentral:lncRNA from 1 species
CAAAUGCAAGAUUUCAUUCUUUGAUGUUUUCAUGUUGAACAAUUGGAAUCAUGGAAUUUCUUCAAGAAAGGACUGCUGAAGCACGAUAGACAAGAAGUACUGCUUUAAUAAACGUGAACCGAUGUGCACUCCUGUAUGUUUGAAACUAAGAAGCCUAAGGUGAAUUAAAGAAUCUGUGGUUCUUGUGGGUCCUGCAGGUUACAAACUUGUGAAAAAUCUUUGACUUUAUACAUCCCACUGCCCUACCCUGUUGGAAAAGACCAAUCCUGGAAUGCUGAAGCCCUGAUGGAAGAUGAAUAGAAACCGGACACUCCCACAGAGGGCUGGUUAGCUGGUGCACCAUCCCAUUUGCUCUUGGACUCUGCUCACUUCACCUCUCGGUGUGACUUUGCGAUGGCUGGAGCUGUGCCAGGCCUGCUACCCCUGGACACCUGAUGAUAUCAAGAGGACUAAGGGCCCCUGAAAUUUCAGAAAUGCUGAAUCCGUGGCAAAAGAGAUGUUAUUGGUGCCCUGAGUUCUUGUAAUCUCCAAGGAGAGAAAUCAAGAGGGAUCACCAGACAUAGCAGCCAAAAAGAAAGAGAAAAAUUUAUUUUAGCUUGUGUGCAAGGAAGUCAGCACUGCAAAAGGAAAAGCAACAAGGAACUCUCUAAUUCCUAUCUGACAGUUCACAGAGAUGUGAUCUUGUUGUUGAUGGAAUUUUCUUCAAAAUUUUGGCAUUUCGUGCAACAUCAGUCUUGGUGCUCCAUUUUCUUGGAGAAUUUUCAUCCUUUCUUUAUCCUCAAAAGUCUUCUGGAAGGAGUAAGAAGAAGCUGCCUCAGAAACUGUGAAACACAUGCCAUGUUAGUUCUAAUUUUAGUCCCAGAUCACUCAAUUCAGUUGUGCAGAUAAAUGAAUUGUCACAACUAUUUACAGAACCAAAUUGAGAACAAUCCUCUCUUAUCCUCACCUUACCAUCCCGAAUCAAAUCUGCCUGGGAACAAAUCUGGUAUUAGAUGUUUCUUCUUUAGUAUGAAAUCAUGUCAAUAUGUUAACUUUCCACAUAUAUCAAUCUAAAGCUUAUUUCUAAUUAAGCAAUAGCUACAAAUUAAAGGAAUUUAAAGCAUCACUGCACAGGCAGCAGAGGUUUUCUUCUAAGCCGAAACCCUGUGGGAAUCAUAACCCGGAUGAUAUAAUAGGCAGCUUGGAUUUCCUGCUAGGAAACCCGGCUCUAUCAUUUUCAUGGACUGGGCCACUUUAUCCCCAUGUCUGCAUUUUAAACUCUCUUUUAUUCUGAUUGUAGGUAACAAAAUAAAUAUGAAACAAAUUCAUAAACAAUAUUGGAAAAAGCUGUGCAUUUUUCUGAAUUUCAACAAAGCACGUGGCCAGAUCUCUCAAGUUAUUCCAGGGACAGAGUGAUCUGGGGUGGGGAGUUAGGUGGAUUUCUUUCCAGACAUUCAGCCGUAAGUAAUUAGCAGUCAGCCUGGCACUGGGCACCAGGGUCCCUGGGAUGAUGGCAGAGGAAGGCAUGAUUUUCCAAAUUGAUGGAUCUCAUGUCAUUGGGAGGAAUGAGAAACGAAUUGAAUGACAUUGUCACUGUCAUCACAUUUUUACAGAUGAAAUCCAAACAGAUCAUAGUAAACUGCAUGAGCAUGGUGGAGAAGGGACACUACAACAACAUCAUUUGGUCAAGUAGUUAGGGGUUGAUGGGUUGAAGUCUCACCAUAUGUUGACAUUGUUAUGAGAUGGCCAACACAAAUGAAAAAAUAGGCAUGUAUAGUGUCUAGGAAAGGAAGAUGAUAGUCUUCUUUCACUAUUCACAGCUCAGAUCUCGGCAGGAAGUUAGG